rnacentral:rRNA from 1 species
UACGUAGGGGGCGAGCGUUGUCCGGAUUUAUUGGGCGUAAAGAGCGUGUAGGCGGCCAGGUAGGUCGGUUGUGAAACUGGAGGCUCAACCUUCAGAGGUCGACCGAAACCAUCUGGCUAGAGUCCGGGAGAGGAGAGUGGAAUUCCGUGGUGUAGCGGUGAAAUGCGCAGAUAUCAGGAAGAACACCCGUGGCGAAAGCGGCUCUCUGGAACGGUACUGACGCUGAGACGCGAAAGCGUGGGGAGCGAACAGG